CUAUUAACGGUUUGUUGUAAUUCUUGUUUUUCUUUUUCUCCAACAGUCCGACAUAUAUAAUAAUGUUUUCUUUUUUCCUUAUUGGCAUUUGGGACUAUGAUUCAUGUUGAUUUACAAAAGGCACCUAUCUCGGCUCCUUAGAUGUUGAUUUUGCUCUAUGAUUUGCACACUUACAUGUAAUUGAAGUUAGAUAAAGAAUAGUAAUGAAAAAGUGAAUUGAUGUUUGCAAAACUUUUUUUCUGUUUGGUAAUCAAAGAAUGAGAAGUGAAUAAAUAUUACAAUUUUUUAAUGGUAUUGUGUUAUAAUUUGUACAAUGAAUAUGCCGUAUUUAGCACACACCAACACUUCCUUUGGGUUUUCAUCAUAUCAUCUUUUGGUGCAAAGGACAUGUGUUUGUAUAUCCCAGCGGAUAGUAUGCAGAAACUAGCAACCCCACAACCAGCAUCCAUAAUGUGAACUACCCUGCAGACAGAUCAACUGUCUCACUGGUAGACAUAUUUCUUAACCUGUCAUGACAUGUCAUGACUCAUGAGGCUUGUAAUUCAGUAGAGUUUAAAUGUUUGCGGUAUAUGGUUUUAACUCUUAAUAGGCCUUGUUAAAAGGUGAGCUAUUGCGUUUCGCUUAUGUUUGUUGUAUCAACUAUAGAUUCACUGUCACUCACAGUGAGACAUUAAAUCUUAUACAUAGAUGUUAUAUAUUAUAAUAUAGGACAGAGGUUCUGGAUCUACACCCCAUUUAAGCUAUUUCCAAUUCCAAUACCGAACAUCCUUUAAAACUCAGUAAAUAAUAUGCUUAAGGACUUAUGCAGUGUUAAGAUCUAGAUAUAAUUAAAAUUUGCCUAUAACCUUGGGUGUUUAAUGUCUUGCUAGCAUCGUGUAAGUGUACACGUUUUUCACCCAUGUGCUAGUUUUCGCUAAUGUGUCUACUACUCUUGGCUGUCUUUCAUGCUAAAAUAAGAGUUAAUUAUGGGAUUAAAUAGUCAUACAAACCUAUGGCUCAUGCAUUUUUGUCGUAAUUCUUGGAUACCUGAUAAAGACAUUUCUAUUUGGUUGUGGAUUUGUCCUGGAAUUUUGUCUAAUAGAAAUAGUUAAAAUAGUCUGUAUCAGCUGAAAAGAUGCCCGCUUCAUAUGCCUCACAGUGAAGUUGGUUUGGGUAGCUACUUUAGUGGUUGUGUUUGAUGUAAUGUAUGUUACAGAUGAAGUUAUCGUGGAUGGCUGCUAUUUACUGGUGCAAGUAACUCUUUAAAACCCUAAGUACUUAGCCAAAUUGAUGGCUUUAAUGAUAUUUUGAUGAUUUUAUAGUUUUUUUAAUUUUUAUUUUUGAGAAUUCUUUUAUGCAAUUUAGCGAGUGCACAAACACACACAUGAUAAGUUAAGAUAGAAAUGAUAAUAUGAAAAAACCACUCUCAUUGACAUCGUGAAAUCAGUGUCACAGUAGUAUUGUGUCUAAAGUAUCUUUGUUAACAUCUACCUUUUUUAUGGUUCAGAAAUUGUAAAUUGCUGCUUCUAAAGUAACCAAUUCAUACCUUUAAGUUUAAUCUGGAAUCAUGCCCUAUGUUUGAUAUAUUUCAUAUCAAUAUAUGUUGCUUCAAGUACUUUAUAGUUUUUAUGUUAAAUGUUUCUCAGUUAUGAAGUAUAUUUAAUGCUAAGGCAGUUGCUAUAUGCAUGCUGCCAUGACAAAUCAACAGCUAACAAAUAGUGGAAACCGGAUGAUGGACAAGACUGAUCAAGCCAUUGGAGGUCAUAAAAGACUGUUCAAGACACCAUCAACGUUGGAACAGAAACUGCAGCUGCACUCAAGGAUCAGACUGAACAAAUGAGUCAGGCUGUUAAGUGUUAAUGAGCUGGACUAUCCAUUUCUCGAUCAAGAAAGCUUCUCAACUUGUGAAGGAACUUGGUAGGCAGGUUGCAACUGAUAGGUGUAUUAUGGCAUUACUCUUCCUAAUUAUUGCCAUUGGAGUCAUAGCUAUCAUUAUUGUAAAGGAGGGACAAUCAUGGCACGGGGAUUGAGGUCCCUAUUGAGGUGGAAAAAAGGAUGCAUAUUUAUUACAUUCGGAACAGAGGGUUUGGUAACAGAUUUAAUGUGUUGGGUGAUGACAAUCAUGGCACUCCGAAUGACUUAACGCAAUGACCCAGAAAUCAAGAAGGCAUGUGACUCAUACAGUGAUCAUUUUGGACAGUUCUUCAAACUGAUAUUCUAUGGCAUCCAAAAGGAGCAGUACUAGUAGAAGUUGGUUGUACAAAGUCAAAGCUUGUGUGCUUGCAUUUAUAGUGACUUGAUGUGAAGAGUGUGGAAGGAAGAAAAGAAGAAAAAUGUGUGAAAUAAAAGGAAAGGCCAUUCGGCCAUGGGUCUCCAGUUUCUACAUGACCACAUUCAUUUUUUUCUAAA